rnacentral:tRNA from 1 species
GCUGAGAUCGUGUAGUGGCAAUCACAGGAGACUGUAAAUCUCCCGCCUUUCGGCUCCGAAGGUUCGAGUCCUUCUCUCAGCA